GCGGGGGUUGCCUAGCCAGGUCAACGGCGCGAGGCUUAGGACCUCGUCUCUCAGGAGUUCGUGGGUUCGAAUCCCACCCCCCGCA
rnacentral:tRNA from 1 species